rnacentral:rRNA from 1 species
CGUUGAUAGGCUGGGUGUGUAAGCGUAGCGAUACGUUGAGCUAACCAGUACUAAUGAACCGUGAGGCUUAACCUGACAACACCGAAAGUGUUUUG